GCGCUCGUAGUCCAGUGGAUAGGACGUUGGCCUCCGGAGCCGAAAGCGGCAGUUCGACUCUGCCCGAGCGCACCA
rnacentral:tRNA from 9 species